CCUCAGAUGAUAAUACAAUCACAGAAUGUUUUGGGUUAGAUGAGAUCUUCAAAGAUCAUCUAUUCCAGCCCUCCUUAUCAACCAUAAAUGUGACAAUAAAACUUUGAGCAGGCUGAAAUGAAACACUAUUUCUAGCAAAUGCUGUGUUUUUAGAGCAGGUUUUUAUGCCAUGUGAGAAGUAACAUGUGCCGGUUUUACAUAUUCCUACAAAUUUCCUAGGAGAAGACACUGACUGAAAAUUGGUAGAGUUUCUUCCCUACUUUAAGGGAGAUUGAAUAAUGCCCCUUGGAAACUUCUAGGCACCAUAGCAUUUUCUGAAAAGACUCUUUAAAGUUGUUUUCCUCUUGGCAGAUGUAUUAUAAAGGCCAGUUAACUAUUGCUGAAGAGAAGCAACUGGAAGACAUACAGAGAAAUGAACCCAUUUAGUGAAGUGUAUUGCAUAUGGACAGUCUUGUGCAGAGGGAGCAUAAACCUGAGGAGAUUAGAGCAUGCCUCAAGCAGAAUUCAAGAAAUGUGUCCCUAGUUCAUGUUUGGAAAGUGUUUUUCUCUUCCCACGUGACCAAUACAUCCCAACCAACCCACUCUCCAUCCGUACAUAUCCCUCUUCUUUUAACAUUUCCAGCCAUACACCUGCUCAAACCUUAUUGCUGCUUAGACCCCUGUGGCAUAUUCUUAAACAUCUGUGUCCCAACACAGUCUCCAAGCACUUCUGGUGAUGACUCUAUGCAAGACGGUCAGGAGCUAUUACUGUGGGCAAACUAUGGCAAGAGAACUUGCUAAGAGAUGGACUGCAUGGGACAGACUAAGAAAUCCUGUAGUACUCGAACACAUGGGCACUAUGCAGCCAUUUAAACUACUUCAGCUUUAGGCCAGCUUUGUGUCAGCCUUGCACUUUUCUGAUAGAACAGAUGCUUGUUUUAUGUUGUUUCUUCCAUAUUCUCUCAACAUUGAGCAUUCUGAAAUUAACUCCAUCCAUGACAAAUAAAAUCUGACAGGAUUCAGUGCAUGGGAGGCAGAUGUAAAUGUACAGCAGCAUUUUGACCAGCUGGAUCUGGCUGAACAUCGGCAGCAAUGUUUCUGUCAAACUCUGCCAUUAAAAGCCCUCACAUCUUGUGAUUUGGUGUGUGUGCUGCAGAAGCCUGUUCAAGAAUAGCAAUGCUCAUAAGUGAGAAGGAGAGGGCUGUAAUGGAGCAGCUGCGGCAACUCAACGCAGCUUCAUUUAGACUUUCCCCCUCCUACAGCAAAUGCUAAAUCUACCCUGCUAAGGAGGAGUUCAAGCCAUGAAGAUAUUCCACACAGAAGAGGAUUAUAAAGCCCCAUGAUGAGCCUGGAAUGAAAUUAAAAAUAGCCUGUGCAAUGAAUGUGCUUUUCUUAGUCUGCUUUGAGAUGUUUCAUAAAGCUUUUGCUUCUUAAAGCACCACUUGUAAUCUCUUGUGGAUAGAUCCAAAGUUGUCUGCUGUGUAACAAAUGUAGAUAGUUGUUCAAAAGGAAUGCUGUUGUCUUGCUAGGGUCUUUUUUUUUUUUUUUUUGUGGCGCUUGGGCGAAGGGAGUGUGUGUGUGCAUGUGAGAAUGUGCGUAGAAAGAGGGGACUCAGCCAGUCGAUCAGAUUUCAUUGGGUUUCUAACUGCCAGCUUUAGACUAGUGGUUUUGGAAUAUUACUUGGGAUCAUUUCAAGUAUUUUCAGCUUUAAAAAGCAAGUUGUAGUUUCUAAUUAAAAGGGAAGAAAAAAAAGUCCCCUCUGUCAGUUAAUAAAUAAUGGUCAUUGACACUUCAGUUCAAAAAACAGGAAACUCUGGAGCUUUCCUUUCUCCCAUAUCAGCUAAAGGCUCCUGGCAAGAGACAGUGUCCCCAGCAGAGGACCACCUGCAGCUUGGGAGCAGCCAAGUUCCUAGAGCUGAGAUAGAGGAAUUUUAUAUAUGACCAUGAUGUCCACUUCCACUCCAGGCCAUCUUGAGACCAGAUGCAUCUUGACUUUCAAGAUACAGAAGUAGAGGGUGCCAGAUUUACAGUAUAAAACACCUUCUUUUAGCAUUACUCAGUCUAUGGGAUCCCUGGCUGCUUAUUUUAUUCACCAUAGUAUUGGAAAAGCGUAUGGAUCCUGCCAAGUUUAAUGGUUUCAUGUAAAACACUGACAAAUAAGCUUAGAUGGUAAAUUCAUGGGGAGAUCUCUUAUGCCUGCAAAGUACCAUAUGCUCUUCUGCUGAAGUAUAUGUAACAUAUAUCUUCACAGACAGGGAGAAGAUAAGCUUAAAAUUUCUUUUAUUUCUUCCCUCAUUCAUGUCACCUAUUCCAUCAUGUUGUGAAUCAUGCUAUCCAUGUUAUCCAUCCACUCAUGCCAACAAGAAGGAUAGAUAUUCAAAUAUAUCUAAGCACAGACUUCCUUGCUUUGUGGCAAUACAAUUGAUACAGGUACAGUCUUAAGUGUGUCUAAUGCAAUGUCAUUCCCAAAAGUGUGGCAUCUGUCUAGAUAGAAAAACAUUAGGCUGCUGAGGGCUGGUAAGCCAAGUGAGAUAAAUCCACCCAAAGAUGUUUUUCUCUCUCUCUUAGUGACUGAAGAAGAUACCUGGGCAACCACCUUAUUAUACUCAGUGCCCAUUACUUAAAUUCCUAAAGUUACAGAUGAAUCCAGCCCAACUCACUAUGUCACCCUGGAGAAUUCCUACUCUUUCUUAGUAACAUCAAAACUAUUUUGCAUACUGAUUUCAGAAAUUUUGGAAAGCAGUAAGACCUUCAUAUCUUCUCCUGAUACAUGAAGUUUGAGAUCCUUCGUGCUUGACAUUGCUGGAACUACAGAUGAGAUUCAGCCUCAGUUUAAUCAGGGGAAUAUUUAUGCCAGUGCUAUAAGCUGUCAUUUAACUCAGUGGUUGCUUAGAAAUUUUACAUUUAGAGAUCUGCCUAUGGAGAAGGUGAAAUUUAAAAGUAGCACUAAAAUUAAGCAUGAGUAGAAAGAGCAUCACAUUCAUUGAUUUUUCUUUAACACAGGGUGGACAAGUGUAGAUAGGCAUAAAUAUUCUGAGCUUUGUACCUGAAUAAGAGAAAGGUGUGCUAGUAAAAACUUCUCUGGUCUUUUAAUUACAUCUCCUCUCUAUUGUAUUUCUUUGAUAAUGAUCCAAAAUAAUUUCAAAAAUCUUUUUAUAGAAAUUUUGCAUGGCAUCAACUUUUCCUGUGACCAGCUCAAAAGACUACUGUAAGAUGUAUGUAUGGAAACAAUAAAGAUCUACUGUUUUUUUAUGGAAGAGCAAUGCCAUCCAAAUAAAAUCCCCCAUCUAUGGAAACUUUCAUUAAAAACAUAACCCUGAAAGACUUGGUACUUAUAAUUCAACAAAAAGAACCCUUGUUUUCCAGUAUAAGUGUGAGUUCUGUCAUGUCAAAGUUAUCACAGGAAAAAAGGAGCUAUUCAAACACACAUCAGAGAGAACCCUGGAUGUGAAGAUAAUGAAGGACAGAUGUUAUCUCAUGGAAGAUGUUGAGCUGAAGAUUUUUUUGCGAUGGAGGCUCAAUAGUAAGUGCUGUAAGCAUCAUAUGCUGUUGCAAAAUUACUAUAUAUGUUUUCUCUACAUUCAGUAAUAAGCCUGUAAUUUAUCAGGAUCACAGAACUUCAGUGAGUACAGGCUCUCCUUUGGCUGCUAAUGAGUAAUAAACUAUCCCCCCAUUUUUUUCACUGUCUGAACAUGUUUUAGAUUCCUCAUUCUCCAGCAGUCCCAGGACACAUCUAAGGAGCUGGAAGAGAGAAUCAUAGAAUUAUGAAAUGGCUUAGAAUGGAAGGGAAGAUCAGAUCCGGUCUGGUUAGUGGGGGAAAGUGAGGGAAAGAAGGGUGACUUGGCAUGGGACAAGCUCACCUACAUGGGGAAACUUACUGUUAUUGAAGGAAUUUGGUCCUGGCUCUAAAGGGUUAUGAAUGUCAGCGGAAGAGGCCUCGGUAAUUCUCAUCAGAGAUGAAAAGUAAUUUCAGAGAAGCCCCAAAUCCUCAAGCAUACCUUGUGCCUGUUCACUGCAGUUAGAUUGUUCUUUCAUGUCUUCUGCACAUGGAAAAUUAAUUUAGAAUUACCUCAGUGAAUGUACAAAAAAUAUGAUUGCUGAAUAAGUGGAUGAAAGAAAUCCUAUAACUGACUAUAAAGAAUAAAAUGCCCUUUGAGAAAUAAACUUAUUAUUAAGGUGAUGAAGUAAUAAUAAUUCAGCAAAAAAGGACAACAGCAGAAAUGGUAAAGCGCUAUCAUGGGUAAGGACUUGGCUAUAAGCAAGAAGAAAUAGGAGAAGCUUUCAACUUGGGAAUUUCUAUUUUUAGUGAGCUGAAAAAGACCACUGCGGUGUAAAAAAAUGUAAUUUAGAUCAGAAUGAAACAUGUACUCCUGGAACUGUCACACUGAGGAUCAAAGCUGACUUGCAUUCUCUUCAGAUGACUAAAUUGUUUAUUUUUCUGGUGUUUUCAAUUAUGUUAUUGAAGCAAAAGACUUAGUUGCAUUGAGUAAUACAAUGUUCAUGGUGCUUUAUUUGAAGAAUUAGUCUGAGUCUCAUAGACCAUUAUCUUUUGUGCUUUUCAGUGCCCAGACCUGCUAAGAACACAGCUGCUACAUAUCAUCUACUGGUCCUUUUCCUUUUUUUCUUACUUUUUCUCCUUUAUUUUUUAUUUUUUAUACUGGUGAGGAACCCUGUGAAAGAGUCUUUAAAACAUUUAGCAGGGUUUUAGAUAACGAAGUUACAGAGCAUGGUUAUCAUGUAAGCUUACACGAUAAGUACACUGGAUUUGAUAGGUAAUACCUUGUACCAACUGUAAUUGCUUGUUCUUGCAGAUUGCAGAGUAAUCCAGAAAGAAUUCUAUAGUCAUUCUCCAUUAACAGAAAACAGAAGAGGUUGCAGAGUGUACAUUCCUUCUCUGAUAACAGGCAUAACAAAAAAAUUAAGUAGGUGUGCCACAGACCUGUGUAUUUCCCAUAAUACAGGCGGGUUGUUUCAAAGUAAAGACAUCGGGAAUUACUGUGGAGAGCAGCCCUGGAGCAGUGCAGCAAGUCCAGACAGGCAUAGAUAAUAGCAAAACAUAUUUACUGCGUUUCAGGUGCAGUGGCUGAAAGUUUAAUGUUGACAUUUCACAGACUUGUUCAAGGCUAUUAUAGAAUAAGUUUGAAAUCUUCUUUGGCCUGGAUAAGUUCACACCUGAAACAAAAGAGAGAAACUUGCAGAAUUGUUUCUUGGUGGUGAUUGCCUCAGUGUUUUCCAGCAGACUGAAGACUUCUAUAUGGCAGACACGAAGGAUAACUGAGAGAAGACAGAAGGCGUUGAGACCUUGACAUUGCAGAACUUCUGGAUGAACACUCUCAAAAACUGAGGACCCUCUUCAUUGGCUGAACCAGUGCUGGAAUCUGAAACAAUGAUCGUCUGUUUUUCUCUGUGUCACCCUUCUGUGUCUCUUUUUUCUUUCUUUUUCCCACAUAAAGUUGUUAAGUAAU